rnacentral:lncRNA from 1 species
ACAAAUAUCUGUGACCCCAAUAUAUAUAUUUACACACUGGGUCGGGUCAAGGACCCAACUAGAAUGAGGGUCGGAUCUUUGUUUGGACUCAGAGACAUGGGCUCAGAUAUGACUCUCAGUUAUUGGGCUCGGGAGAAGCCCAACUCAGACACUAUCAUCACUGCCCAAUAUUGGAUAUACCAAAAUACACUAAAUAUACAUUGUGUAUAUACUAUACACUAUUA